rnacentral:rRNA from 1 species
GAUGAACGCUGGCGGCGUGCCUAAUACAUGCAAGUCGAACGAGGUGCUUUUGUAGCAAUACGGAAGUAUCCUAGUGGCGAACGGGUGAGUAACGCGUUGGUGACCUACCCCAAAGUGUGGGAUAACAGUCCGAAGGAUUGCUAAUACCGCAUGUGGUCAUCGGGUUUAGAAACCGAUGUCUAAAGGAGCAAUUCGCUUUGGGAGGGGACCUGCGUCCCAUCAGCUAGUUGGGAGGU